rnacentral:rRNA from 1 species
UACGUAGGGAGCAAGCGUCGUCCGGAUUCACUGGGUGUAAAGGGUGCGUAGGCGGGACAGUAAGUCAGUGGUGAAAUCUCACGGCUCAACCGUGAAACUGCCGUUGAUACUGCUGUUCUUGAGUUCGGGAGAGGUUGAUAGAAUUCCAGGUGUAGCGGUGAAAUGCGUAGAUAUCUGGAAGAAUACCAGUGGCGAAGGCGGUCAACUGGCCCGAAACUGACGCUGAGGCACGAAAGCGUGGGGAGCGAACAGG